GCAUCCGUGGCAGAGUGGUCGAUUGCACCGCACUCAUAAUGCAGCUCCUUUGGGACAUCGUUGGUUCAAGUCCAACCGGAUGCA
rnacentral:tRNA from 1 species